rnacentral:tRNA from 1 species
GGGCCCGUAGCUCAGCUGGCAGAGCGCCUGCUUUGCAAGCAGGAAGUCGUCGGUUCGAAUCCGAUCGGGUCCACCA